CCUCCCAUGAUUUUCAGGGGCCCUGCCUAUGUUUAUUCCUGCACUAAUCGAAGAGAAAAGAUUGAUUCGGCAAGUGGGUGAAGUAAACAAGAUUAAAGCCUGGGGGAAUAUUUGACGAAGUCAAGGACAAGCUGUUUUCCAGGGCAGGCUCACUGACCCCAGCUGGGGAAAUCUUGGCCAUCUCUGGAUCCUGUUUCUUCGCCCUAAGGGAUCUUUCCUCUGAUUCUUUCUUGUUUUCCAACCAAAUGAGGCAUGCUAGGGCCAUUUGCUGACCCUAUGUCUCUCUGUCUCCAUCUCUUUGUCUGUCUGUCUCUGUGGGUGUCUCUGGCUCCCCCAGCCCCAGCUCCACCGCCCAUGAACUGGAACGGAGUACACCCAAGGACACGCAUCUGUGACCCUGUUUCAUUCCUACGUUCUUGAUAAUUUAUUAGCUGGUAAACUUCAGCCAGAAAACCAACUCAGAAGUUCUGGCUUCCCUCUGCAUGGAUCUGAGCCCUUCCUGAGAGGGAGCCCUGGCCAAGGAGAUGAUCCAACUCCUGGUACAAGCGUCUGGGAAGAAGAAAGUGGGCAGCCCUGGCUGAAGGAGCAGGCAGAGCAGCAGGACUCCAGAGAGCCUGGAAGGCAGGCUGUGUGGGGGAGGAGACUACCUGGCCACCGACUCUGCCUUCCACUCAGACACCUGAAAUUUAACCUUGGAGAACCUCUUCCAAGCCUCCUCUGCAGGUAAGUGGCGGGAUCCAUAUUGGCAGAAGGGGCUGCACCUGAAGAAUGAGCUGCAGGUGAUAGUAGGACACCCCCACUCCCACCCCAGGCCACUAAGUAGUGAGGAUGCUGCAGAAACAGCCCCACCCCAUCCUGGCUGUCAGUCAACCCACAAGGCCUCUACCAGUACAGGGCGGGUGUGUCUGGAGCCCUUGGCCAUGGAAGCCAAAGAGUUGGGCUGGAAUCUGUGGCGAUCUGCUUCAGUAUCUUCACCUGUAAAAUGGGCAGGGUAACCUCAGACCUGUGGUGCACCCAGGCCUGUGCUGGAGAAAUACAAGAGAUCAGGCAGGGGCACAAUGCCUGCUGUCCUGUGCCUGGGCCUGCCUCCUUUGUCAAAAGGCCUUAAAUCAGGGCUCUGGCCAGGUGCACGCCUGUAAUCCCAGCAGCUCCAGAGGCUGAGGUGGGAGGAUCUCAAGUUCAAAGCCAGCCUCAGCAAAAGUGAGGCACUAAGCGACUCAGUGAGACCCUGUCUCUAAAUAAAAUACAAAAUAGGUCUGAGGAUGUGGCUCAGUGGUCAAGUGCUCCUGAUUCAAACCCGGUAGCACCUUCCCCCCACAAACACACAAAAAAACAGGGCUUUGUAGCCUUCAUAGGAUCUUGAAUCCCCGUAAACAUUUUUCUACACACAAACACACACAUGCACACACUCUCAAUGUUUUUUACAGAAAACAAGGAGAGCUUACGGUUACCCAAAGCCAAACCAUAACACUCAGUUUACAGAUUCUUACUCUGGGACAUUGGCAUUGGGUGAACCAGUAGAUUCACUCCUAAGUUCCUCAGCGCACCCAAGGGGAGACUGAGGCUUAGUAUGGGAGAGAGAGAGAAGGGUAGCCAGCCCAGGUCAGAUAGCCAAUAGUAACAACAGCAAAACUAAAUUUAGUAUUGCCAUGCACACUUGGGCCAGGUGCACACUGCACAGACUGAGGGGUUGUUCAGUCUCUCAAAAAAAAAUCUUGCCAAUCUUUUAAUAGGUGCCAUGUAAGAUAUAUCAAGCAACACCCGCAGGAACACAGAGGAAAGCACUCUAAAGGCUUCCAAAGAAAUCUGAGACUUCCUGGAACAGGGAUAUUGGCACUUGGUUUUGACAGAUGGAUAUUAAGAGAGAACAGAGGAGGGAGGAAGCUGGGAUUAGAGGGUAUGCACUUGGCAUUGCCUUUGCCUCCUAAUUCAGCACCACAUCCUCUCAACCCCUGAUCAGCUGAGCUGGUUAUGAACCCACUGGCUCAGUCCUCAGCCUUUACCCAAGACUCUGUCUCUGAUCACUUUCCCCACCAUUUCCAAUCCAGAGUCAGAACCCAUUGGAAAUAGUUUCAACAGAGUCAAUCCUAACAUGUCUAGCAGCCAGGACUUGUCCCACCACCUCCCACAGCUCCCCACCUCACCCAAGGCAUCAAGAGGGUGUGGUGUGUGAGCCAGGCUAUGCCACCCUCCAGCUUCACUCCUCUGAGCCCCAGCUGUGGGUCUGGGGCCCCACAUGGCCCAGCAGCUACUCACAGGCAGGCUCAGGCCUCCUCUGUGCCUCCCGCUUUGGACGGGGUAAGAGGCUCGGGGUUCUUCUCCAUCGGCCACAGCGGGGCAGGGAGCUGGGUAUCUCCAGGCCUUCCUAAUGCUAUGUCCCUCAGGGGAAGCACAGGAGACAUCCUGGCAGGCACGGACACUGGCCCUGCCACCUAGCUGUUGCUCUCAGCCUGUGAGGCCUUUCAGGAUCAUCACCACGGAAAACCCGGAGCAGAACCAGUGGGAGCUGGAGAAAUGGCUGAAGAAGAGCCAGGGGCCUGUGGCUGGUUCCCAGCUGUGCAAUAUGAGUGAGACCUGGCAGGAGACAGGUACCUGCAGGCUGUCCCUGCUCCACCAGAGCCCCCAGCCCGCCUCACCCUCCGUCUCCCUUCCCCCCUGAUCUGCUUGCCUCUCAUCAGCCAGGGCCCCUCCCUCCAGGGCCGACUCACCUAGAGCUGCCUGGGGUUGCCCUGCCUGCUCCCCACUUCUUUCUUCCCACCCAGACUAUAGCACCAGUUUUGGUCUCAUCUCCUCCUGGAAGCCUCCCCACCCACAAUGAGCUCAUAGUUCAGCUUCUACUGGAAUCUACUGUUGGGAUGUGCGAGAGACGUCAUGGAAAGACACGGGCUGCUCAGAGUCCCCCCACGCUAUCCCCUCAGCACUGUUGCCCAGCUCCACAGAGAAAUAGCAUUGACCCCCCACAGGCAUGGUCCCCAUCUGGGUCCAUAGAGAGUAAAUGCAUCCACUGGAGCCCUGAGGGGAGAGCAAUUCCCAUCCAAUUGCACAGCUGGAGAAAUCAAGGCCCUGGCCCCGAGAGUGGCCUCUAGCCAACCUCAGAGGAGCACAGAGGCAGGAGUCCCCACCUGGCUGAAGCCACCAAAGAUGAGAGCAGCGCAAGAGUCCUGCCCUGGCCUCGGGCAUGGGUGCAGGUAGGUGCAGCCUGGAGCCCAGGGCUGGAGGGUCUCUAGGCGCAGGGGCCUUGCAGGGACUGCACAGAUGACCCAGCCUGGGCUUUAUUCCUUCCUACCAUCACUGAAGGAUCUGGUGAGGCCCUCAUGUAGAUGCUGCAAUCCCAGCAACCUGGAAGGCUGAGGCAGGAGGAUCAUGAGUUCAAAGCCAGCCUCAGCAAUUCAGAGAGGCCCUAAGCAACUCAGUGAGACCCUGUCUCUAAAUAAAAUACAAAAAGGGCUGGGGAUGUGGCUCAGUAGUUAAGCACCCUUGGGUUCAAUCACUGGUACCAAAAAAAAAAAAAGUUUGAUACUGGAAUAUUAAAGCUAUGGAAUUGUUAAAGGGAAAAAGAUGGAGGACAAACAGGAACAGGACAUAACCAAAUAUCAGAUCCACUGUCCCCUAUAGCUGCAGAGAUUUGAGCAAGCCUGUGCCCCAGUUUCUUCAUAUGUAUAGUAGGGGAAAUAUUAUCACCCUCAAAGAGAGUCACUGCCCAGAAGAUGGUGGUGGGGGUUGGUGAUAAUGGUACUGAUCGUAUUUAAUAUAUUGCAAUUAUCAUUUUUAUUGUUAUAUUCAUUAUUCAUCAUAAUCAGACUGUCAGUUAUGAGCUGAUCAUUAUGAUGGUCACUUCACUUCUGUGACCCUCCCCAUAGGAGCAGGUGGCAAGAGGAGGCCUGGCCCAGAAGGAUGGUCACACAGUUGCUGAAGUAUGACAUGAUCAGUCGCACCCACUCAGGUCAGCCUAGGUAUCUCCACCUGGCUGCAAGUGACACUGUUUGGCCUGGGAGCACCUGUCCUGACAUAGACAUAACAUGUACCAGCAGAGCCUUCAGCCUGCUGAAGCCGGGUGGACACCUGGUCACCAUGGCCACACUGCAUUCGCAGCACUAUAUGGGCUCCAGAAAGUUCUUUGAGAGGGAGACAGUGAGAAGGCCAGGCAGGAGGCCAACCACCAGGCGCUGAGGUUCAACCACCAGCCGCUCCGCUACUCUGAGGCCUGCUCCAUUAACGAGGACAUCUUCUUUGCUGUCACCUUGCAAAGUCCCCAGGGUCUGAGGCCAGCCUGGCAGAGCUGCCCCCUAGUGGUCACAGCCAGCAUUUCUGGAUCUUGCUCACAGCCCCCUAAAGCAGCUAGAGCUGCUCUACCCCUUUAUUCCUGCUACCUGGUCCCAAGGCCACAAGGGAAAAGCAGGGCCCUUCUGACACUCUUCUCAGGGACUGUCACCCACACUCCUUCCUUGUUAUCCUGUAGCAAAGAUGACGGAACUAAAGUGCUCUUGCUGAACACUGUCUUGGUCUGACUUCUCCCAGAAACAGACCUGAAACAGGAUUUGAGAGCAAAUCCAUUAGUUGAGAAGGGACCUGUGAACAUCUAGAGGGGAAUGGGAAGGAAAGCAGAGAAGGAGGGCAGCUGAGAAAGAGGGCAUCACCCAGCCCUUCCCACCGUAGGCGCCUGGAGCUUAGUCAUGCCAGGGCCUCUGGGGAUGGUGCAGAGCACAGUCUGUGGUUUCCCCACCCAGGGAGCCAGGUCGUGGGUCUACACCAACUCCUGUUGCCACGGCUGAGGGCUGCUGAUUGGGGUGUUAAUUCCCCAGCCUCUUCGGUCUGCCUGCAUUGGGCAGUGCCACCCCAGAGAGAACUAAAAGACUUGCAGAUGCUGGCCAUGGGCAAUUGAGCCAGUAUGCACAGGGCACAGGGAAGAGGCACUAAAAGUGUCUGCAACUGGCAUGAAAUGGGCCACUGGCUGGAGUUCCAGGUAGGUUGAUCCCCUGGAAAAAGGACAUGGACUUAGAUUCUCAAAGCCAAAGGCACCUGCCAGAGUAAUAUGACUUCUAGACCAAGUUCCUGCUCCCCCGGUGUGAGGAGGGGACUGGCUCCAUCAGAUGGUUCUGUGAGUCACAAAAGAGCCAGCACUGAGGCCUGGACUCCUGUCCAGGUAAUGAUGAGCUGGUGGCAAUGCAGCUUCAGGGAGUGGUCAGCUGAGGCCAGCUAUGGGGCAGGGCAGGAGUCAGGCUGCUUCAUCGAUGUGGCCAAGAACAUAGCCUCUGACCUCUGGGAGGGCCUAGGGUCACAUCUCUAGGACCAUCACAAGGUCGUUAAGUCUCUGCACAACAUUCUUACUCAAACAGCCAAAUCUGCUCCAGACAGCUCUCGGCAUGGGCUCACCUCUUCUCUCUGAGAUGUGGGCAGUGUGUCUGCAUUUCUCCACCUGUUAUGGUUGAGAUGUGGUGUCUCCCAAAAGCUCACGUGUGAGAUAAGGCAAGAAGGUUUGAGGAGAAAUGAUUGGGUUAUAGCCUUAACCUAAUCAGGAACUGAUCCCCUGACAGGGAUUAACUGAGUGGUGCCUGAAGUGCUAGGGUGUGGCUGGAGGGGGCGUGGCUUUGGGUAUAUAUUUCUAUCUGACAAGUGGAGUCUCUGCUUUCUGAUCACCAUGUGAGCUGCUUCCCUCCGCCACAGUCUUCUGCCAUGAUGUUCUGCCUCACCUUGAGCCCCAAGAAACAGAGCCGACCUUCUAUGGACUAAGACCUCCGAAAUCAUGAGCCCUCAAAUAAACUUUUCCUCCCUUAAAA
rnacentral:lncRNA from 1 species